UAGAGGAGCAUAGAUCGCGACAUGAAUAACUCAGCCGUAUCUCCACGCCUUUUCACGCGGCGAAGCGCUUUAGGAUUAGCAUCCGCACUGCUGGCCUUUCCGCGGAGUGCUGUCUCUGCCGACGGAGCUGCGGUCUUGGUUCACAAGGACCCAAAUUGUGGGGUUGGAUGCGCCAUCUCAAGGAGGCAGGCUUCGCGGUUAAAGUCGACGAAACGACAAACCUUCACGCCGUCCGGACGCGUCUCGGCGUGCCAUCCGACCUGGCCGCCUGUCAUACUGCCGAAGUAAGCGGAUAUGUCCUAGAAGGUCAUGUCCCUGCAGCCGCUGUACGACAACUAUUGGAGAAG
rnacentral:misc_RNA from 1 species